rnacentral:rRNA from 1 species
GACGAACGCUGGCGGCGUGCUUAACACAUGCAAGUCGAGCGGAAAGGCGCUACUCUUGUUUGGUUCUCGAUUGGCGAACGGGUGAGUAACACGUGAGUAACCUGCACCUAACUUUGGGAUAACUUCAGGGAACUCCGGCUAAUACCGGAUAGAAGCUCCUGCUGCAUGGUGUGGGUUGGAAAGUUACGGCGGUUGGGGAUGGAUUCGCGGCAUAUCAGCUGGAUGGUGAAGUAGGGACUUACCAAGGCUUUGACGGGUAGCCGGCCUGAGAGGGUGACCGGCCACAUGGCGACUGAGGUACGGCCCAGACUCCUACGGGAGGCAGCAGUGGAGAAUAUUGCACAGUAGGCGGAAGCCUGAUGCAGCAACGUCGCGUGCGGGAUGACGGCCUUCGAGUUGUAAACCGCUUUCGCCUGUGACGAAGCGUGAGUGACGGUAAUGGGUAAAGAAGCACCGGCUAACUACGUG